ACACGACCGUACCGCAAACCGACACUGGUGCGCGAGAUGAGUAUUCUAAGGCGCUUAGAGAACUCAGGAGAAGGAACUCGGCAAAUUGACACCGUAACUUCGGAAGAAGGUGUGCCCUAGUAUUGUGAAGUGAACAACGGAGCAAGAAAGGGUUGCAAAAAAUCGGUGGCUGCGACUGUUUAUUAAAAACACAGCACUCUGCAAACACGAAAGUGGACGUAUAGGGUGUGACGCCUGCCCGGUGCUGGAAGAUUAAAUGAUGGGGUGCAAGCUCUUGAUUGAAGUCCCAGUAAACGGCGGCCGUAACAAUAACGGUCCUAAGGUAGCGAAAUUCCUUGUCGGGUAAGUUCCGACCUGCACGAAUGGCGUAACGAUGGCCACACUGUCUCCUCCUGAGACUCAGCGAAGUUGAAAUGUUUGUGAUGAUGCAAUCUCCCCGCGGAAAGACGGAAAGACCCCAUGAACCUUUACUGUAGCUUUGUAUUGGACUUUGAACAGAUCUGUGUAGGAUAGGUGUAGGCUUUGAAGCAGGGUCGCUGGAUCUUGUGGAGCCAACGUUGAAAUACCACCCUGGUGAGUUUGAGGUUCUAACCUAGGUCCAUUAUCUGGAUCGGGGACAGUGCAUGGUAGGCAGUUUGACUGGGGCGGUCUCCUCCCAAAGCGUAACGGAGGAGUUCGAAGGUACGCUAGUUACGGUCGGACAUCGUGACGAUAGUGCAAUGGCAUAAGCGUGCUUAACUGCGAGACUGACAAGUCGAGCAGAUGCGAAAGCAGGACAUAGUGAUCCGGUGGUUCUGUAUGGAAGGGCCAUCGCUCAACGGAUAAAAGGUACUCUGGGGAUAACAGGCUGAUACCGCCCAAGAGUUCAUAUCGACGGCGGUGUUUGGCACCUCGAUGUCGGCUCAUCUCAUCCUGGGGCUGUAGCCGGUCCCAAGGGUAUGGCUGUUCGCCAUUUAAAGAGGUACGUGAGCUGGGUUUAAAACGUCGUGAGACAGUUUGGUCCCUAUCUUCCGUGGGCGCUGCAGAUUUGAGGAAGCCUGCUCCUAGUACGAGAGGACCGGAGUGGACACACCUCUGGUGUAUCGGUUGUCACGCCAGUGGCAUUGCCGAGUAGCUAUGUGUGGAAGAGAUAACCGCUGAAAGCAUCUAAGCGGGAAACUCGUUUCAAGAUGAGAUCUGCCCGGGCCUUGAGCCCCCUAAAGAGUCGUUCAAGACCAGGACGUUGAUAGGUCAGGUGUGGAAGCG
rnacentral:rRNA from 1 species